CCUGGUGACGAUAGCGAAGAGGUCACACCCGUUCCCAUUCCGAACACGGAAGUUAAGCUCUUCAGCGCCGAUGGUAGUUGGGGGCUGUCCCCCUGUGAGAGUAGGACGUUGCCAAGC
rnacentral:rRNA from 1 species